rnacentral:rRNA from 1 species
CCUACGGGGGGCAGCAGUCGAGAAUCAUUCACAAUGGGGGAAACCCUGAUGGUGCGACGCCGCGUGGGGGAAUGAAGGUCUUCGGAUUGUAAACCCCUGUCAUGUGGGAGCAAAUUAAAAAGAUAGUACCACAAGAGGAAGAGACGGCUAACUCUGUGCCAGCAGCCGCGGUAAUACAGAGGUCUCAAGCGUUGUUCGGAAUCACUGGGCGUAAAGCGUGCGUAGGCUGUUUCGUAAGUCGUGUGUGAAAGGCGCGGGCUCAACCCGCGGACGGCAGAUGAUACUGCGAGACUAGAGUAAGGGAGGGGGAACCGGAAUUCUCGGUGUAGCAGUGAAAUGCGUAGAUAUCGAGAGGAACACUCGUGGCGAAGGCGGGUUCCUGGACAUUAACUGACGCUGAGGCACGAAGGCCAGGGGAGCGAAAGGGAUUAGAUACCCUAGUAGUC